GUGUUUAAAAUACAGAACAGAACAACAGCAAGAUUUAAAAAGACUAGAGAAACUCAACAAUAUCCUAAUGAGACACAUGGCUUCCAAAUAACACUGAGCGUAAGAUAAGUACUAAAAUAUAAAUGGGAAUUCAAAUAAUAUGAUGGGUGGUGUGUUCUUACAAAAUUCAAAGUGAAAGAAUUUGACAUAUGAUUCUCCAAAAUUUGAAUUGAUAUGGAGUAAAUGCAAGAAUAUCGAAGUGCUUGGGAACUGAAUAUAAUGUAUAUACAACAGUAAAUAAUCAAACAGCUGGUUCUGAGUAUAGGGCCAUGGUCUUGAAAGUUGAAAUGGGUGUUGAACGUUGGGUGCCAAUCUAGAUAGCAGAGAAUACAAACUGAGAACUUGUGUAAUGAUGGAAAGUUCUACCUGAAAAAUAUAAAAAUAACUUCGAUGUUUCGAGCGAAGGCCUUUGUCUGGAAAUUGGCAGGCCCUUAGCAGGGUGGAAAAAAUAUAGGUGAGCACGCGAACACUGCUCGCAGGAAAUGUUAAACAGCUGCAGAAGAUUUGUUUGAAUAAAGAUUUGGUAUUGAAAAUUUGAAGGAAACUUUAACACCCAUGUCCCACUAUGGGCGUAACAACAUAUGGUUGACAGACAUUAUUGCUUGAAUUUAAAACUAUGGUCAGCUAGAACACUAUAUGUUUAUGCACAAUCAUACAGAUCUAGCACAAAAAUAUUCCGUUGGUCUGCAGGAAAUUUUUGCCUCCAGAAAGAAAAUUCUUUUUUCCUGCCUUUGAAAGGGUCUUUGGUGGAAAAGUUAUUUUAAUAUUUUUUAGUAGUUUUAUCAUCUACACAAGUUUGCUAUCAGAUUUUAGCACAUUUACAUAUAACAUUUAUAUGAUAUUACAAGGGAAAGCCUCGUCAGGACAGUAGACUAUCUUCAGCAUUUUUUCUAUGUCGGAUACUGUAACAUAACGUAUGCAUUUAAUAUAACUCAGCAAGACAUUGAAAAUAUUGUGACAUAAGUAUUAUUAAUACUUCUAUUGAUUUACUAAGAUUUUUAUCCGAUUUCAAUGCUGUGACUGUGUAUUCUUAAAUAUUGUCCAAAACAUGUCAUUGUGUGGGAAGUUCGUGUGUGUAUAUUAAUAGCUUGUAGCCAAUCAGAGAUGAUGUACAGGAGUUUACAGCCAAUCAGACUAGUUUUGUUUGUUACAUUUUGAUGACUAUACUGCUAUUUACAGUAAAGAAAGUCA